CUGCACCUUUUUCCUGAAUUUUUGCACCAAUUUUUCAGCACAUAUCAACGUACACAACAAUCAUAAACCAUUAAGUAUAGCUUCUGCCUCUGUUUGGUCAAACAGACCGUCUCUCCAACUUUUCAGAACAGAAAUUCAGCACGUAGUUCAAAAUUGGCAGACUAAACAUAUGCACAUAUCUUCCCUUCCUCUAGAAUUCAAAC
rnacentral:lncRNA from 1 species